AUUAAGUUCAUUUUUUAGUUUUUAGAUACAAUGUUUUGACUUUUUGUCUCAUUUAAUUUUUUACGAUUAAUAUUUUUGUUGUUACUAGACGGUAAACAUGAAUAGUACUUUAUGCAUGACUAAUUUUAUUUAAAAAUUCAAAUAAGAUGAAUGGUCAAAUGUUUGGACACAGAAAUAAAAAAAUACAGUUAUA
rnacentral:pre_miRNA from 1 species